UCCCUAGUGACUCAGACGGUACAGAAUUUGCCUGCAAUGCAGGAGAACCAGGUUCGAUCCCUGGGUUGGGAA
rfam:Ovis aries breed Texel chromosome 15, whole genome shotgun sequence.